GCCUGACAGUCCCCCCAAAAAGCUGGAAUUACCGGCAGAGUCCCCAUGGUGACCCCGGUUUCUCUGGGA